GGCCUGGCUGAAAUUUUGUCCUAGACAUUAACCCUACCUUGGCUUUGGCAGGCUAGUCUCACUGCCUAAGUUGCGCUCGCGGGACGCGUCUCUCUGUACGUG
rnacentral:lncRNA from 1 species